rnacentral:rRNA from 1 species
AUGUUGCUCCAGGAGGGCGCCACCGCCGAAGCCGCUGCGCUAGCUGAGGCCGAAGGAUUUGGGCCAACAGAUGGUGCAUCAACUGGCAGUCUGUUCCCCCCAGAUAUUACAUUUUACGUGGAUGGAAAACCUAUUGAAGCUCAUCGGAUCAUCCUUUGUGCUCGAUCGCCCUUCUUUGAACAUAAAUUCGAGACAGACUGGAAAAACAGGAAGGAAGUGAGAUUUUCUAAUAAAAAAUUAUCAUUUGGUGCCUUGUACAACCUUAUCCAUUUCUUCUAUGCCGAUAGACUCGAGGCUCCAGUAGAUGAAAUGGAAAGUUUGUCACGCACUUGCAAAGUUUGCAAGUGUGAGGAGUUGCGUAAGUUAGUUGAUAAAGAAAUUCUGCAUCUUAGGUUUGCACUGUAUAAGUCAACAAGUAAGUUGGGUUUGGAAAAUUCACAGAGUCCGAGACGGUUCAUUUUACUCGGGCAGUCAUUGCCACGAGAAGAUCGUCUUCCAUCGGCAUUGCGGCGUGUUCUUCAGAAAUGUCUAGCUAAUUCAAGAGAAGAAGAGUUCAAAAAAACUCUAGCAAAUGAGAUCUGCAGAAACUGGAAGGAUGAUGAUCUUGCUGAUCUCACUGUAAAAGUAGAUGAUACAGUCUUUCGUUGCCAUCAGGUGAUUUUGGCCUCAAGGUCAGAGUAUUUUAAAACCAGACUAUCUCGAACAGUGGAUUUUCUUGAAGGUAACAAUCGAGUGCAUGCAUCUCUGGGUCUCCCAUUUCUUGAGGAGCAUGACCUGAGUACGGAAGCAUUUGAAAAGAUGCUUGAAUACAUGUAUACUGACAAUCUGGAGCAUAUGCAUCCAACCCAGGCUGAAGAACUAUUUGAUGUCGCAUCGAGAUACCUGCUGUUUCCCCUUAGGCGUGCUGUAGCUGAUUUACUGUUACCAAAUCUGGAACAUGUUUCACCUGCAGAGCUGUGCCAUUGGUUGAUCUUGUCAGACAUUUAUGGCGUUAUGAAAAUAAGGGAGUACUGCCUGGAUAUCAUUGCCUACAAUUUCGAGAUGUUUGCGGACAUAAGAGAGUUCAGGGCUUUGCUCUUGACACUCCCACCGCCAUCUGCAAAUGACGCACUACGAACGACUCGUCCCAGCCAGCCCGGGGCUGCAGGGCACACUGACCAAGGCAAUAUUCUCGAUGACUUGCGUGAGAAAUGGUUGGAAGCGGAGGCUGCUGAGCUAGACGAGAGAGAUCAGAGCGCAGCGCUGUUUGACCAGCGACUGGAGAUGCUCAUGCUUGUUGCGGAGCGGGAAGCCUGUGAUGAUGACAAUGCUGCCCUCCACUGA